rnacentral:rRNA from 1 species
GAUGAACGCUGGCGGCGUGCCUAAUACAUGCAAGUCGAGCGAACAGAUGAGGAGCUUGCUCCUCUGACGUUAGCGGCGGACGGGUGAGUAACACGUGGAUAACCUACCUAUAAGACUGGGAUAACUUCGGGAAACCGGAGCUAAUACCGGAUAAUAUAUUGAACCGCAUGGGUCAAUAGUGAAAGACGGUUUUGCUGUCACUUAUAGAUGGAUCCGCGCCGCAUUAGCUAGUUGGUAAGGUAACGGCUUACCAAGGCAACGAUGCGUAGCCGACCUGAGAGGGUGAUCGGCCACACUGGAACUGAGACACGGUCCAGACUCCUACGGGAGGCAGCAGUAGGGAAUCUUCCGCAAAGGGCGAAAGCCUGACGGAGCAACGCCGCGUGAGUGAUGAAGGUCUUCGGAUCGUAAAACUCUGUUAUUAGGGAAGAACAAAUGUGUAAGUAACUAUGCACGUCUUGACGGUACCUAAUCAGAAAGCCACGGCUAACUACGUG